rnacentral:rRNA from 2 species
GAUUCGUCACACUAUCAUUAACUGAAUCCAUAGGUUAAUGAGGCGAACCGGGGGAACUGAAACAUCUAAGUACCCCGAGGAAAAGAAAUCAACCGAGAUUCCCCCAGUAGCGGCGAGCGAACGGGGAGGAGCCCAGAGCCUGAAUCAGCAUGUGUGUUAGUGGAAGCGUCUGGAAAGGCGCGCGAUACAGGGUGACAGCCCCGUACACAAAAGCGCAUGUGCUGUGAGCUCGAUGAGUAGGGCGGGACACGUGGUAUCCUGUCUGAAUAUGGGGGGACCAUCCUCCAAGGCUAAAUACUCCUGACUGACCGAUAGUGAACCAGUACCGUGAGGGAAAGGCGAAAAGAACCCCGGCGAGGGGAGUGAAAAAGAACCUGAAACCGUGUACGUACAAGCAGUGGGAGCACCCUUCGGGGUGUGACUGCGUA